GCACGUAGCUCAGUUGGUAGAGCAUUGAAAUAGUAUCCCAAUAAUCGCGAGUUAGACACCCACCGUGGCG